GGCUCAGGAUGAACGCUAGCGGCAGGCCUAACACAUGCAAGUCGAGGGGUAACAGGAGAGCUUGCUCUCGCUGACGACCGGCGCACGGGUGCGUAACGCGUAUACAAUUUACCUUAUACUGGAGGAUAGCCCGGAGAAAUCCGGAUUAAUACUCCAUAACAUUACAGAAUCGCAUGAUUCCAUAAUUAAAGUUUCGGCGGUAUAAGAUGAGUAUGCGUCCUAUUAGUUAGUUGGUAAGGUAACGGCUUACCAAGACAGCGAUAGGUAGGGGGCCUGAGAGGGUUAUCCCCCACACUGGUACUGAGACACGGACCAGACUCCUACGGGAGGCAGCAGUGAGGAAUAUUGGACAAUGGAGGCAACUCUGAACCAGCCAUGCCGCGUGCAGGAAGAAGCAUCUAUGGUGUGUAAACUGCUUUUAUACAGGAAGAAACAACGCUACGUGUAGCGUCUUGACGGUACUGUAAGAAUAAGGACCGGCUAACUCCGUG
rnacentral:rRNA from 1 species